rnacentral:rRNA from 1 species
AGUGAACGCUGGCGGUAGGCCUAACACGUGCAAGUCGAACGGCAGCACAGUAAGAGCUUGCUCUUACGGGUGGCGAGUGGCGGACGGGUGAGGAAUACAUCGGAAUCUACUUUUUCGUGGGGGAUAACGUAGGGAAACUUACGCUAAUACCGCAUACGACCUACGGGUGAAAGCAGGGGAUCUUCGGACCUUGCGCGAUUGAAUGAGCCGAUGUCGGAUUAGCUAGUUGGCGGGGUAAAGGCCCACCAAGGCGACGAUCCGUAGCUGGUCUGAGAGGAUGAUCAGCCACACUGGAACUGAGACACGGUCCAGACUCCUACGGGAGGCAGCAGUGGGGAAUAUUGGACAAUGGGGGCAAGCCUGAUCCAGCCAUACCGCGUGGGUGAAGAAGGCCUUCGGGUUGUAAAGCCCUUUUGUUGGGAAAGAAAAGCAGCAGGUUAAUACCCCGCUGUUCUGACGGUACCCAAAGAAUAAGCACCGGCUAACUUCGUG